CCGGCCACUGGACCAGGACAGCAGUGCUGGCAGGCUGCAAGGUCCGGCGCCGGCUGGUCCCAGGGGGCCUGCUGGGCAGCUCACCCGUCCCCUUCUCCCAGCACUGUGACCAGGGCCCUGCACCUGCCACCCAUCGGGAGGCCUCUGCCAGCACUCCUGUGUGACACCAGUAUGUGCUGGGAAUAUGGAGAGGCGACACCAGCCCGUGCUGCUCCUGUCCCCCCACAAGGCAGCGUGGCGUCCAGCAUCUACAGAGCCUGUGUUCCCGGGACCCAACGCAUUGGAACCGAGGGGCCAACAGCGGGAGAACAGCAGCCGAUUUGGAUUCCAGAGAGACUAACCAAAGCGAUUUCUACAGACCAAAAAGAAGAUGACUUGGCUCAAAUCCAUAACAGCUGAUAUCCAGAGCUCCAUCUUGGCUAUUCUUACAUCUGCCACAGUGGUUCUCCCACACCUGGAGGCUAAUGAAUAAUGAACACCAUUAAAGCCUAUUUCAAAUGUAAAAAACCUUGGGGCUUGCUUGUGGGAAUACCUUCAGACCCAUUAUGCAAGUUGCAGGAAAAAGGAUGGGAUAUCCAAAAAAGAGUCAAACCCAGGUGGUAACCGGGAUGUCUUUUUCAAUAUCUAUUUUAUUAUUGCCUUUUCCCACAUCAUGAUGUUCUAUUUUAUUUUUUGAGCUCAUACAGACCUAGGUUAAUGUUUUUCUGAUCAUUUCUAUUUUUUGACUGUAGAGUUUUUAAACAUUGCAAUGGAGAUUUCACCUGUAAAAAGCUACAAGGCCUUUACUAUUAUGUUAUGUGUUGUAUGUAUUGUGUUAUGUGUGCACACUUGUGUUUUGUGUUGUAUGUCUGUAUGUGCAUAUGUCCAUAUAUCAUAUAUGAGGAGCGCUCAUAUAUGAUAUUUGGAUCCCGAGUCCGGGAUCUUGGCUGAACAGCGGGUGGCGGAAGGCAGGAGCCCAGGCAGGGCCGGGGGCAGUGCGGGAGUGGCCCGCAGGUCCAGUGCCAGCGCAGGUGUCCGCUGCCCGUGGGUCCUUCGGUGCAUGCCAGAGCCCCACCCGAGCAGCCGGGCUCUGGAGCUGAGGAGCCAGGGUGACCCGCAUGCGCUCAGCAGGACCUGGAGGCCAUAUGGGCAGGGAGCGCGCCGGUGCCCCUGCGGCCAGCACAGCCCAGGAGCCCCGCCGCCGGUCAGGCAGGCCUGGGGGAAGAGCACGCCUGAUCAGACCACCUCGGAGAGCCCAGCAAGCAGGACAAGAGUCCUCCCGCCCGAGGCCCACGUCGGAGCUGAGGUGCCAGCCACGCAGCGUGGCAUCGGAUGCCCAGCUGGACACCAAGGCUUUGCUACUGUGGCGGAGGGCAAGGGUGGGCGCUGGUGGAGGCCACUGGCCGUGCGGGGCCCCUCUCCUCCGCCCCUCGGGUGUCUCCCCAGACCUCAGCGUAUGGCCUGGACUCCUGCGGCAGAGUGCUGGCCCUCCUGAGGGCACCCAGUGCAGGGGACUGGGGCACAGGCACCGCCCUGCUGGAAGGGUCAGGGCUCCUGGAAGCGGGAAGCUCUGCCCCGCCUGCUGUGCUGGGGGCGGCUUCAGGUCCUCGCCUCUGCUUGCCACCCUCUGGGUUAUCCAGCUUCAUCCGGACGGAUGGGUGUGAAGCGACGUCCCCUGCUGACUUCUGUUCCUCCACUGAUGACAAGCGAGGGGCCUCUUUCGCGCUGCCGGACAACUGGAGGGCCUCUUCUGUGAAGGGCCUGUUCACAAUUUUGCUGAUGUUUCUUUGGGGGUCUCUGCCUUUUCUUCUCCAGUUCUAGACUCUUCACAGUUCUGGAUUUGAAUGCUUUGUGUCGUAGCCAUUGCAAAGACCUCCUCCCACUCCGCUUUUCAUUGUCGAAAAGGUUCCGGUUCCGUUGGAUCAAGAGAAACUCUAGGGGCUGGGGAGGUGGCUCAAGCGGUAACGAGCUCGCCUGGCAUGCGCAGGGCGCUGGGUUCGGUCCUCAGCACCACAUACAAAUAAAAGAUGUUGUGUCCACCGAAAACUGAAAAAUAAAUACUCAAAAUUC